AAUGAUUGAGCCAAAAAUAAAGACAAAUGAUGUGGGCCUUCUAAUUAGGGAAAGAUUGGUACCCUAGCAUCAUUGAAAAGAAGGCAACCGUCAUUUUAGAGGGAAUCCUAGAGCUGCCAUUGGAGAAAGAGGAAAGAGAGAAAUGAAGAAAAAGAAGAAGAAAUUCCAAGCUUGAAGAGGAGAAUCCAAGGAAGAAAAGGAAGAGGAGGAAGACAACGUUAUUGAUUCAUCAUCUCUGGCUUGUUUUCUCCUCUUUAAUCUCAUUUAAAUGGUGCAAGAAAAUAAGCUUGGAUGGCAGGAUGGAUUCAUGGCGGCUUUGGCAUGUGUAUUGGGCAAGAACUAAAUGAAUGGACUAAUGGGAAAGAUCGAGGAUGACGUUUAUAUAUUUUUUUAAUUAUGUAUUAUAAGUUUUUUCAUUUAGUAUUUGAACAAUUAAUUAAAGGUUUUGUUUUCCUUAUGAAAUAACAAUGGGAUCUCGUAUUUUGGAUUUUUAUAAUAAGAUGCUAUUAUUUUA